rnacentral:lncRNA from 1 species
GAAGCAAGGGAACAGGGAAUCGCCAGGGCGGUGAUCGCUGGAGAAUCCAGGCCCAAACCCGUCGAGCAGUGGCUCGAGAAGGAGAUCGGAGGGAAAAUCUUCAAGCUCGGAAGAUCUCUGGAGGUCGAUCUCCAGGACCAGAUCGCCAAGGUAAUUGAGCGGCAUCUGGACGCGUUUGCUUGGUCCGCUUCGGACAUGCCCGGGAUCGAUCCCGACUUCUUGUGCCAUCAUCUGGCGAUGGACAACAUGGUGAGACC